AUGGCUCAGUGGUUAAGAGCACUGACUGUUCAUCCAGAGGUCUGAGUUCAAAUCCCAGU
rnacentral:tRNA from 1 species